rnacentral:misc_RNA from 1 species
AAGUCGUAACAAGGUUUCCGUAGGUGAACCUGCGGAAGGAUCAUUACUGAGUUUAGGGUCUCUUCUAGAGCCCGAAUCUCCAACCCUUUGUUAAAAACACUUUGUUGCUUUGGCAGGCCCGUCUUAUCCUUUAACCGGGAGACGACCGCCGGGGGCGUUUAGUCACCUCUGGUCAGUGCUUGCCGAUAGCCUAUUAAAAAUUCUUUAUUAAAUAAUGUCUGAAAAAUUAUAACUAAAUAUAAUUAAAACUUUUAACAACGGAUCUCUUGGUUCUG